CCUUUAAGUAGAGGCGCGCUGCCUAUGAGUAGCCGAGCGGAGGGUGAUGCCUGUGAUGCUCGAGGAAAGGAGUCAGCGCCGAAGUGGCCAGGCCAUCAUACCGGGCUGCUGGUUCUGCAUCUAAUAGGUGCAGGACUGCCAUAGUCAUCCACUAUGGAGCGCUACCUGAAGG
rfam:Aeromonas diversa 2478-85 Contig 34, whole genome shotgun sequence.